GUGCCCACUUUGGCAGCACAUAUACUAAAAUCGGAAUGAUACAGAGAAGAUUAGCAUGGUCCCUGCACAAGGAUGACACACAAAUUCAUAAAGGAUUCCAUAUUUUU